GCCUCUGUUGUGUAGUGGUCAAGACGCUUGUCUGAUAAUCAGGAGGGCUUGGAUUCAAUCCCAGCUGAGGCA
rnacentral:tRNA from 1 species